UACAGAGGGUGCGAGCGUUGUCCGGAAUCACUGGGCGUAAAGGGCGCGUAGGUGGCGGCAUAAGGCCGUGGUGAAAGUCUGGGGCUCAACCCCAGAUCGGCCGCGGCGACUGUGUCGCUAGGGCACCGUAGAGGCAGAUGGAAUUCCGGGUGUAGCGGUGGAAUGCGUAGAGAUCCGGAAGAACACCGGUGGCGAAGGCGGCCUGCUGGGCAGUAGCUGACGCUGAAGCGCGACAGCGUGGGGAGCAAACAGG
rnacentral:rRNA from 1 species